ACUCAAAGGAAUAGACGGGGGCCCGCACAAGCGGUGGAGUAUGUGGCUUAAUUCGAUGCAACGCGAAGAACCUUACCUAGGCUUGACAUGCAUCUCUAAGUCGGUGAAAGCCGGCGAGUGGAGCAAUCCACAAUUUGCACAGGUGCUGCAUGGCUGUCGUCAGCUCGUGUCGUGAGAUGUUGGGUUAAGUCCCGCAACGAGCGCAACCCUUGUGAUCUGUUGCUAACCACUUUAUGUGGAGCACUCUGAUCAGACUGCCCUGUGAAACGGGGAGGAAGGUGAGGAUGACGUCAAGUCAGCAUGGCCCUUACGCCUAGGGCUGCACACGUACUACAAUGCCCAGUACAGAAGGAACCGAGACCGCGAGGUGGAGGAAAUCACUAAAACUGGGCUCAAUUCGGAUCGCAGGCUGCAACUCGCCUGCGUGAAGCCGGAAUCGCUAGUAAUGGCGCAUCAGCUACGGCGCCGUGAAUACGUUCCCGGGCCUUGUACACACCGCCCGU
rnacentral:rRNA from 1 species